rnacentral:rRNA from 1 species
AUUGAACGCUGGCGGCAGGCCUAACACAUGCAAGUCGAACGAGUGGCGGACGGGUGAGUAAUGUCUGGGAAACUGCCUGAUGGAGGGGGAUAACUACUGGAAACGGUAGCUAAUACCGCAUACCAUCGGAUGUGCCCAGAUGGGAUUAGCUUGUUGGUGGGGUAACGGCUCACAUAGGCGACGAUCCCUAGCUGUGCUGAGAGGAUGACCAGCCACACUGGAACUGAGACACGGUCCAGACUCCUACGGGAGGCAGCAGUGGGGAAUAUUGCACAAGGGGCGAAAGCCUGAUGCAGCCAUGCCGCGUGUAUGAAGAAGGCCUUCGGGUUGUAAAGUACUUUCAGCGGGGAGGCGUUACUCGCAGAAGAAGCACCGGCUAACUCCGUGCCAGCCGCCGCGGUAAUUC